rfam:Triticum aestivum genome assembly, contig: Triticum_aestivum_CS42_TGACv1_scaffold_032498_1BL
GAAGUACAACCUCCGUCCGAAUUAGUUGACUCAGAUUUGUCUAGAUACGGACAUAUUUAAACACAUUUUAGUGUUAGAUACAUCCGUAUCUAGACAAAUCUAAGUCAACCAAUUUGGGACGGAGGGAGUACAUU